rnacentral:lncRNA from 1 species
UAUCAGUUUGCUCUCUCCUUUUUUUUUUUUUCAACAUCCAAAAUCUUUUUAAUAACAAGUCAAGGUCUGGGGUUCAUUUUUGUAGCCCUGCUGGCCCUGUGGCCUCUGGUGUGCUCAAACUUCCAGCCCUCCGGCCGCACGUAGGGUUUGGUGUGGCUGUGCAGGUUUCCUGAGGCUUUGCCAAACCACUCGGCCCUUGCGUGGACCAGAGAGCAAGACUGUGCCACACAGCCCUUGGGGGAGUCCAGGGCCAACAACUGGUCAGAGGUAAGGAUCUUGCCUCCAGCUUUGAGGAUGUGGAUCCAGGCAUGGCGGCUCACCGGCAGCACGUACACCUUCAGUUUGGGCACCUCCUGGACAUGCACAUCCUUGCAACCACAACUGUUUUGUCUUCACAGCCAGGCAGCUUCAUCUUCAGGAUUAUCCGGUAAAGGGACAGAAGUGGCCGGCUGGUGUGACUCAUGAACAACCUCUUCAACACAACUUAGUUAAAGGUGGAGUUGGUUGGUCUGCCCAGAAACCUGUACAGCUUGACCACAGUGUCAUAGAAGUCCUCCAUCUGGGGCUCCUUUCGCGGAAACCUUUGGGUCCUUGUUUUGGCAGAUGUCGACUCCCACUAUGGCACCUCCUGCUC